rfam:Hymenobacter sp. APR13, complete genome.
UUUUUAUACAGAGGCGCUGAGAGACAGGCUCGAUGAAGCGUCGGCAACCACCCGGAACCCUCCGGAACGGUGCCAAUUCCUGACCAUAUAAAAA